rnacentral:rRNA from 1 species
UGGCCGGGCAAUUCUCCGGGUGAAUCGGGCCGCCCAACGGUCCGAAUUCCGGAGACACUGCUCGGCUUGGGAUCGGGAGAGGGUGAAGGUACUCCCGGGGUAGGGGUAAAAUCCUGUAAUCCUGGGGGGACCACCAGUGGCGAAGGCGUUCACCUAGAACGAAUCCGACAGUGAGGGACGAAGCCCUAGGGCGCAAACGGGAUUAGAUACCCCGGUAGUCUAGGGUGUAAACUCUGCAGACUUGGUGUUGGGGGUCCUGCGUGGGCUCCCAGUGCCGGAGCGAAGGUGUUAAGUCUGCCGCUUGGGGAGUAUGGUCGCAAGACUGAAACUUAAAGGAAUUGGCGGGAGAGCACCGCAACGGGAGGAGCGUGCGGUUCAAUUGGAUUCAACGCCGGAAAACUCACCGGGGGCGACGGAGGGAUGAAAGCCAGGCCGAAGACCUUGCCCGAUUCUCCGAGAGGUGGUGCAUGGCCGUCGUCAGUUCGUACCGUAAGGCGUUCUGUUAAGUCAGAUAACGAACGAGACCCUCGCCCUUAGUCGCGAUUUCACGAGCGAUCGUGAGAGCACACUAGGGGGAUCGCUGCCGCUAAGGCUGAGGAAGGAGAGGUCUACGGUAGGUCCGCA